AGCGCAUUCCCACAGGACUAGUGUCAGCCGAAAAUGAUGCAGCCGAACAGUUGUACACAUGCCACAACCCUCCCUGUCAAGGGAGAGGACACGGUUGUGGGGAGAGGGACAUGAAAGGAAGUAAUCAAGGAACCAAAGUCUCAGCAGGACGUGUGAGAGCAGAUUCUUCUCUGUGUCCUCAAACCUCCAAAACCAGGGGACGUGGAGGAACCAGGAGAGCGGAAUUAGCAUCAAAAUACAAACAGCACCAGGCCCAGCCACAACACACACCUGCCUCUGGGAUGGUGUCUGCAGGAAGAACUGCUCCUCUGUUACAGGAAUGGAAGAGCCUUCAAAGGGUCAUGAAGAGAGGUUGUUCAUGGGUCUCUACAUCCCAGGCAAAGAUGAACUCCUGGCCUUUUCGUGGAAGCACAAGGACAGUCUCAGGUAUCUUCUGGGCUAGAGAAGAAAACUUCUUACCCUCCUUGAUCAGCCAGGCCCCUUGAAAGGUGGGCUUCCUUGAUGGAUGAAUUCACCAGAGCUUGCUGCAUCAUUGUCUGUAACCCUGGUGACAGUUCACAUUGCUGCUAGCCAUGGAGGAGGAGGAGGACCCCCCCCCCCCCGCAGCCCCCUCCCCAGCAUCUUCACCAGUGUGAGAGCCAUUAAAUUUCUACCAGUGUCUGGCACUUCAUUGUUCCAUAAAGCUGCCUCUUUCCAGUUCUUAGCAGAUGUGGGUGUCUUUUCAUAACUGAAUUGUGUCGAUCCAUUCAGCUAGUAACUGUCUGUCUUUUAACUGAGGUGUCCUUUCCUCGGUGUCUCCUCAAUGACAGGUCUACAAGGUAAUCUGAAAGUGGGUAGAAAGCACGGCUGAAACCAAGGAUAAGGAGGCACAU